UACGUAGGUGGCAAGCGUUAUCCGGAAUUAUUGGGCGUAAAGCGCGCGCAGGUGGUUUCUUAAGUCUGAUGUGAAAGCCCACGGCUCAACCGUUGGAGGGUCAUUGGAAACUGGGAGACUUGAGUGCAGAAGAGGAAAGUGGAAUUCCAUGUGUAGCGGUGAAAUGCGUAGAGAUAUGGAGGAACACCAGUGGCGAAGGCGACUUUCUGGUCUGCAACUGACACUGAGGCGCGAAAGCGUGGGGAGCAAACAGG
rnacentral:rRNA from 1 species